GCGGGCGUAACUCAGUUGGUAGAGUGGCAGCUUCCCAAGCUGCAUGUCGCGGGUUCGAGUCCCGUCGCCCGCUCAA
rnacentral:tRNA from 1 species